rnacentral:rRNA from 1 species
UAGCUAGUUGGUGAGGUAACGGCCCACCAAGGCGACGAUUGGUAGCCGGACUGAGAGGUUGAACGGCCACAUUGGGACUGAGACACGGCCCAGACUCCUACGGGAGGCAGCAGUGGGGGAUAUUGCACAAUGGGGGAAACCCUGAUGCAGCGACGCCGCGUGGAGGAAGAAGGUUUUCGGAUUGUAAACUCCUGUCGUUAGGGACGAUAAUGACGGUACCUAACAAGAAAGCACCGGCUAACUACGUGCCAGCAGCCGCGGUAAAACGUAGGGUGCAAGCGUUGUCCGGAAUUACUGGGUGUAAAGGGAGCGCAGGCGGACCGGCAAGUUGGAAGUGAAAACUAUGGGCUCAACCCAUAAAUUGCUUUCAAAACUGCUGGCCUUGAGUAGUGCAGAGGUAGGUGGAAUUCCCGGUGUAGCGGUGGAAUGCGUAGAUAUCGGGAGGAACACCAGUGGCGAAGGCGACCUACUGGGCACCAACUGACGCUGAGGCUCGAAAGCAUGGGUAGCAAACAGGAUUAGAUACCCUGGUAGUCCAUGCCGUAAACGAUGAUUACUAGGUGUUGGAGGAUUGACCCCUUCAGUGCCGCAGUUAACACAAUAAGUAAUCCACCUGGGGAGUACGACCGCAAGGUUGAAACUCAAAGGAAUUGACGGGGGCCCGCACAAGCAGUGGAGUAUGUGGUUUAAUUCGAAGCAACGCGAAGAACCUUACCAGGUCUUGACAUCCGAUGCAUAGUGCAGAGAUGCAUGAGGUCCUUCGGGACAUCGAGACAGGUGGUGCAUGGUUGUCGUCAGCUCGUGUCGUGAGAUGUUGGGUUAAGUCCCGCAACGAGCGCAACCCUUAUUGCCAGUUACUACGAAAGAGGACUCUGGCGAGACUGCCGUUGACAAAACGGAGGAAGGUGGGGAUGACGUCAAAUCAUCAUGCCCUUUAUGACCUGGGCUACACACGUACUACAAUGGCGUUUAACAAAGAGAAGCAAGACCGCGAGGUGGAGCAAAACUCAAAAACAACGUCUCAGUUCAGAUUGCAGGCUGCAACUCGCCUGCAUGAAGUCGGAGUUGCUAGUAAUCGCGGAUCAGCAUGCCGCGGUGAAUACGUUCCCGGGCCUUGUACACACCGCCCGUCACACCAUGAGAGCCGGGGGGACCCGAAGUCGGUAGUCUAACCGCAAGGAGGACGCCGCCGAAGGUAAAACUGGUGAUUGGGGUGAAGUCGUAACAAGGUAGCCGUA